UACAGAGGUCCCGAGCGUUGUUCGGAUUCACUGGGCGUAAAGGGCGCGUAGGUGGCGAGGUAAGUCGGAUGUGAAAGCUCGGAGCUCAACUCCGAAAUGGCAUUGGAAACUACCUUGCUCGAGGGUUGGAGGGGGGACUGGAAUACUUGGUGUAGCAGUGAAAUGCGUAGAUAUCAAGUGGAACACCAGUGGCGAAGGCGAGUCCUUGGACAACUCCUGACACUGAGGCACGAAAGCUAGGGGAGCAAACAGG
rnacentral:rRNA from 1 species